rnacentral:lncRNA from 1 species
GGGCCUGAGAAAUGGCUUUCUGCUGUGGCCUAUUGCUUUUGCUGCCGACAAAUGGGAGUGCUAAGCAUGUGACCUCCAGAUAACCAUAGUCUGUCCUGUACCAGUGUGUGCUCGGUUGAGCCCUUGGAGUGCUUCACGUCUGCUCGCAACCCAACGGGCGUGAGGGAGAAUGAUCAACAAAAUGCUUAUUUCAACAAGGGCAGGUGCUCUUUUUGCCUUUUAAUCAGUCGGCAUGUAAGUUACACUAGUUCUGGUAGCAAGUUCCGAACUUAAGUGCAGUUUUUCUUCUAGUGCUGCAAAAAGGUGCAGCUGAUGUGUGUCUCCUCACUUCCUGAAGGACUCUGAAGGCAGCUUUCCAGGAACCCACCUAGAGCUUGACGUUUGUUUUAUGCUCUUCAAACGUUGCCCUACUGUCUGCAGAUUGGCGUGCAAGAAAUAGAACUACAGUGUACUACUGAAUGGUCAGCUACAAACCAACUUACCUACCAUUUACAGGAAUAAUCCAGGAACAGUGAGGAAAGCUCCUUUUCAUUUCACUUCCAGUGCUGCUGCUGCUUCUCCAGCAGCUGUAGUUGUUCCUGCGAGAGGAGCCCAGGUGAGCAGCUGCUGGCUGAUCAUAAAGUCUGGAAGCAAACAACAAAUGUCCAAGCAGUUAUUUCUUCCCUAAACUUAGAAUGAAUCCGUAGUAAGAAACCAUUGGCCUUCUCUACAGCACCUUUACCCCAUAGCUCUGAGGGCUUUACGAAGGUAGGUUAAUAUGGCUUUGUCUUCCUAGUGCAUUCCAAAAAUUUAACUAACCCUCAACAUCCCUAUGAGAUGAGCAGGUA